UUUAGACGAGGAUAGAGGAAUGGACUUGAGCAGCAUCAAAACACCUGCUAAAAUUAAUGUAAUUGGUCGACCCAGUGAAUUUUUGAAAACAACGCCGAAUGUGAAGAGAACCUUGAAAAAAUCAGCGUCAAAUUGAACUUAUGUCCAGCUGUCAUCGUUUUCAGGACCACGUCAGACAAACAAUAUUUGCGUAUCAUUACAGCUAGUGUUGAAUGAUGAUCUUAAUCCAGCUGAAAAAUCAAGACUACAGAGUUAUAAAAAUGAAGCCGUGGGUAGCGUCAUUCAACGUUAAUAACAGUAUAAAUAAAUAGAAAAUAAUAUCGAGCCGGUCAUGAUCCCUGUUGUCAGUACUUUACCUGAUAGCCAAGCAGCUCAAUCGAGCAAUGUGGAUCAUUUAUCAGAUAAUAUGACGCUUCUUCUCUACCAAAAACUGUCGAUGGAAAAAUCAAUUAUGCUGGCAUUAUUAGUAUGAUUCCAUCAUUAUUGAAGAAGAUUUCGACAGUUUGCUAUCCAAACUACAGGCAAACAUUUUAUUGAACACACAAAGAAGAACAAAAGAAGAAGUACUCCUCAUAUUUAUUUUU